rnacentral:ncRNA from 2 species
GGAGACGAAGAAAUACACUCUAAUAUAAUUAAGCGAUAUGGGCUUUAAGUUUCUACCGGACACCGUAAAUGAUCCGACUAUUAGGGGAAAGCUGCUUUUU